rnacentral:tRNA from 1 species
UGAAUUAGCUCAGUGGUAAGAGCUUAGGUCUUGUAACCGGAAGGUCCCGGGAUCGAAUCUUGGCAG